AGAGUUUGAUCCUGGCUCAGGAUGAACGCUAGCUACAGGCUUAACACAUGCAAGUCGAGGGGCAUCACGAGGAUAGCUUGCUAUCUUUGGUGGCGACCGGCGCACGGGUGAGUAACGCGUAUCCAACCUGCCAUCUACCGGGGCACAGCCCGUCGAAAGACGGAUUAACGCCCCAUGAGGUACACGGAUGACAUCAGAAGAGUACCAAACGUGAGGGUAGAUGAUGGGGAUGCGUCUGAUUAGGAAGUUGGCGGGGUAACGGCCCACCAAUCCAUCGAUCAGUAGGGGUUCUGAGAGGAAGGUCCCCCACAUUGGAACUGAGACACGGUCCAAACUCCUACGGGAGGCAGCAGUGAGGAAUAUUGGUCAAUGGGCGCGAGCCUGAACCAGCCAAGUAGCGUGCAGGAAGACGGCCCUAUGGGUUGUAAACUGCUUUUAUACGGGGAUAAAGUGAGCCACGUGUGGUUUAUUGCAGGUACCGUAUGAAUAAGGACCGGCUAAUUCCGUGCCAGCAGCCGCGGUAAUACGGAAGGUCCGGGCGUUAUCCGGAUUUAUUGGGUUUAAAGGGAGCGUAGGCUGGCUGUUAAGCGUGCCGUGAAAUGCGUGGGCUCAACCGACGCACUGCGGCGCGAACUGGCGGUCUUGAGUUGGCGGAAAGUGCGCGGAAUUUGUGGUGUAGCGGUGAAAUGCUUAGAUAUCACGAAGAACUCCGAUUGCGAAGGCAGCGCGCUGCAGCCAUACUGACGCUGAAGCUCGAAAGCGCGGGUAUCGAACAGGAUUAGAUACCCUGGUAGUCCACGCAGUAAACGAUGAGCGCCAGCUGUCCGGCCCGAUUGGGGGCUGGGUGGCACAGCGAAAGCGUUAAGCGCUCCACCUGGGGAGUACGCCGGCAACGGUGAAACUCAAAGGAAUUGACGGGGGCCCGCACAAGCGGAGGAACAUGUGGUUUAAUUCGAUGAUACGCGAGGAACCUUACCCGGGCUCAAACGGGACAGGAAAGUUUUUGAAAGGAGGCUGUCCGCAAGGACCUGUCCCGAGGUGCUGCAUGGUUGUCGUCAGCUCGUGCCGUGAGGUGUCGGCUUAAGUGCCAUAACGAGCGCAACCCCCACCGACAGUUGCCAGCAGGCAAAGCUGGGGACUCUGUCGGGACUGCCGGCGCAAGCUGCGAGGAAGGCGGGGAUGACGUCAAAUCAGCACGGCCCUUACGUCCGGGGCGACACACGUGUUACAAUGGCAGGCACAGAGAGAAGCCACCCCGCAAGGGGGAGCGGAACUUGAAAUCCUGUCUCAGUUCGGAUCGGAGUCUGCAACCCGACUCCGUGAAGCUGGAUUCGCUAGUAAUCGCGCAUCAGCCAUGGCGCGGUGAAUACGUUCCCGGGCCUUGCACACACCGCCCGUCA
rnacentral:rRNA from 1 species